GUGCUCACUUCGGCAAGUACAUAUACUAAAAUUGGAACGAUACAGAGAAGAUUAGCAUGGCCCCUGUGCAAGGAUGACAGGCAAAUUCGUGAAGCAUUCCAUAUUUNA
ensembl:snRNA U6 U6 spliceosomal RNA